AUAGCAGGGAUUGUGUGUAUCGGCUUAGUGCGAUCAAAUGCAUUUUGUACGAAAGAUUUCCCUGCAAAAUCAAUUAGGGGCAGAUGGGCAGUUGUGAUUCAUUUGUCAAUUGAAUAGCUCAACAAUCAUCUUCCCCACAACU
rnacentral:snoRNA from 1 species